GCAGUAGCCGCGGUAAUACGUAGGGCGCAAGCGUUGUCCGGAAUUAUUGGGCGUAAAGAGCUCGUAGGCGGUCUGUCGCGUCUGGUGUGAAAUCCCGAGGCUCAACCUCGGGCUUGCAUCGGGUACGGGCAGACUAGAGUGCGGUAGGGGAGACUGGAAUUCCUGGUGUAGCGGUGGAAUGCGCAGAUAUCAGGAGGAACACCGAUGGCGAAGGCAGGUCUCUGGGCCGCAACUGACGCUGAGGAGCGAAAGCAUGGGGAGCGAACAGGAUUAGAUACCCGAGUAGUCCCUGUCUCUUAUAC
rnacentral:rRNA from 1 species